rnacentral:misc_RNA from 1 species
UUAAGUUCAGCGGGUAGUCCUACCUGAUUUGAGGUCAGAGUCGAAAAUUGCCCGAGGGCGAUUGUAAGCAGUCAUCACAACCUUCACCGACGAAACUUAUUACGCCAGACGACAUUGUUAAACUCGCUAACUCCUUUAAGGCGAGCCAGAGACUGGCAACACCCAAAUCCAAGCCAUUAAGAAACCCUAAUGGUUGAGAU